GACGAACGCUGGCGGCGUGCUUAACACAUGCAAGUCGAGCGAGAAAGCCCCUUCGGGGGUGAGUACAGCGGCGAACGGGUGAGUAACACGUGGGCGACCUGCCCUAGAGACUGGGAUAACGUCCCGAAAGGGACGCUAAUACCGGAUGAUGCGCGACCUGCCAAGUAGGUCGCGCCAAAUGGUAGCUUCGGCUUCUGCUCUGGGAUGGGCCCGCGCCGGAUUAGCCUGUUGGUGAGGUAACGGCUCACGACGGGGACGAUCCGUAGCUGGUCUGAGAGGACGACCAGCCACAGUGGGACUGGGACACGGCCCAGACUCCUACGGGAGGCAGCAGUGGGGAAUCUUGCGCAAUGGGCGAAAGCCUGACGCAGCAACGCCGCGUGAGCGAAGACGGCCUUCGGGUUGUAAAGCUCUGUCAGGAGGGACGAAGCCACUCAGGUGAAUAGCCGAGAGGGUGACGGUACCUCCAGAGGAAGCCCCGGCUAACUACGUGCCAGCAGCCGCGGUAAGAC
rnacentral:rRNA from 1 species